GCUGCCGCUCCGCGCGGACCCAACCUCCCACCGCGGCUUCCAGCCUCUCUCGCAGCUCCGCGGGGGGGUUGCUGGGGGCCGCCGCCGGGGACCUGCGCUCCGGCGCCGGCCUGGUCGGGGCCAUUCGGCCGGCCGCUCGCUGCGGGCAAGACGAGGACCGAAAGGAUGGAAUGUCUGUUGGGCCUCGGGCUCGUGAUGUUUCCAGGGGGGUCUGGAUGACCGGCUCGACCUCCAGCCCUGCGCUCCCGGCCGUGCUCCCAGUCCCUUGCCACGCAGGGCCUUCUGUGGGACGCCCACCCAGAUACAUCCCAAACACAGCUGCGGGACCCCUCGAACUCUGCUACGCUUCUGUACCCACCCCUAGAAGUCAUCACGGCAGCUGGAAAGCACUGCCGACCUCCUCGUGGCUGUGGGCAGACCCUUAAAUGACCGCGACACACCCCGUGUAAUUUGUCUGUGGCGCCCCCCACAAGCCAUAAUUAAAACUCGGAACUCAAAAUGGACGGUCCAGGACAAUCUCGUAUGAGAAGAGGAAGGGACCUGGACGUCAUUUUGCCUCCACCGUUUUUGUUACAUAAUGGAAACCAGACAGAGAGGGAAGGCCACUUGCCCAGGGUUACUCCACUGGUGAGAGGCAGCCCAGCCCCGUGUGCCACUUCCCUUCUCAGUGCACAGUCCAAGACAGAUGCUGGGACAAAGGACUGCACCACGUUUCCUUAGACCAUAGUGGUCAGGGGCGCCUGGGUGGUGCAGUCCGGUAAGGCACCGACUCUUGAUUUUGGCUGAGGUCAUGAUCUCUGGGUGGUGAGAUAGAGCCUGGGCGCUCAGCAGCGAGUCCGCUUGAAAUAUCUCCCUCUGCCAGGAGCUAGCUCUCCUCUAAAAUAAAUAAAUAAAUCUAAGAGAGAAAGAGAGGGAAAGAAAGCAUUGUGCCCAGUCAAGAUCCCAGCUGGAAACAAAUGGCACGCUCCAAAUUUGAAAAUCUGAGGUAAUUUUGCAGCAUAAUAUGACCUUGGAGCACUGGACUGGAAAGCGGCUUGUUUUCAACCAAGAAAGAGCUGUUCUAUUUGAAGGCCAACUCUGAGUGCCAAAACUUGGAUAACUUUUACUGGAAGCCGGACACUCCAGAAGUCCACCCUGACUCCACUUCUUUGCUGGGGAGCCUGAGACCCCACAGCUCACUUACCCACCUCGUAAAAGGGGGUUGUCCUGAGGAUCACAGACAAAUGUGACGCUCUAAAACACCCAGCUGCCUCGAAGCUACCCAGCAGUUCAACCCGUGACAGCAUUAUUAUUUUUAUUUACAUUAUUAUUUUUAUUUACAAACAUUAUUAUUUUUAUCUAGAGCAAAAGCUCUUUUGUAAGUCCUCAUGAUCACUCUCUGGCCUUGACUCUCCCAUCCUCUACAGGUUCCUGCUGAAACCUAAGUAACUCGGUAUUGUACUUUGAAAGCUAGAGAAGUUAAACAGGGAGCAGCGCAAGUGGGACCUGCUAGAGUAAAUCUUGUUUAGAAAAGGCAACUUCUGUAACAGUCAGUGAAAGGGCUGCCUGGGUGGCACAGACACUGUUCCCACUCCGGCCCUACCCAUGACCACCCUAGAGUUUUCUCAUGGGCUCCUUGGAGUUUGGGAAGCACAGUCAGGCGAGAUUGGCCUUCUUCUGGACCAUAAACAAGCUCUGCUCACACUUUCCCAUGUGUUUAAUUUUCUAAAGGAAGCUUAUGAUAAACCCAGGGAGGGAGCCCAGUGCCCCACUGGGCAGGUUAUUGAAAGACAGUCCCAGUUUUCUUGUUAAUUUCCAAAUGUGAUAUUUGAAGGAACUUUGGAAACCUUCCAAUUGUGUGAAAUAUCUAGCUGUUUGUUUGUUUUAAAUAAGUCUGUAGAACUACUUUUCUCUCUGACACUUUCUCCCCCAAACAACUUUUUUGUUUUGUAAAUAGUUAAUGCCUUUGCCUCAUUUACGAAUGAAAAGUACAUCCCACGCAGGCUUCCUCCUCUGCCCCAAAGCAAUGCAGUCGGUAUCCCCCACCUUGGGCAACUCUUUAAUAUUAGCUUCUUGUUAAUCGUCCUAGGGAUACUUCGUACAAAUAGAAGGAAAUAGAAAUGCAUGCCAUUAUUUCGUCCACUUUCUAACACCUGAGAAAGGAGGUUACAUUUACUCUUUGUACCUUGCCACUUAAUAUGACCUGGAGUUCCCUGCAGAUCUACACGGAGAGAUGGCCCGCAUUCAUAGAGUAGCAUUCAUAGCCCCAUUGCUAGACACUUGGAUUAUUUCCAAUCUUUUGUUAUUGCA